GCCCGCUUAGCUCAGUGGUAAGAGCGUGUCUGCAGUGCCGUCCCCUAAGAAAUCCUUUCGAACAGCGUCUGUUGAAGGCAGGACAUCAGUUCGACUCUGAUAGUAGGUA